AUACGUAGGGGGCGAGCGUUGUCCGGAAUGAUUGGGCGUAAAGGGCGCGUAGGCGGCGCGGUAAGUCUGGAGUGAAAGUCCUGCUUUCAAGGUGGGAACUGCUUUGGAUACUGCAGAGCUCGAGUGCGGAAGAGGUAAGUGGAAUUCCCAGUGUAGCGGUGAAAUGCGUAGAGAUUGGGAGGAACACCAGUGGCGAAGGCGCCUUACUGGGCCGUAACUGACGCUGAGGCGCGAAAGCGUGGGGAGCGAACAGGAUUAGAUACCCUGGUAGUCCACGCGGUAAACGAUGAAUGCUAGGUGUUGCGGGUAUCGACCCCUGCAGUGCCGGAGUAAACACAAUAAGCAUUCCGCCUGGGGAGUACGGCCGCAAGGUUGAAACUCAAAUGAAUUGACGGGG
rnacentral:rRNA from 1 species